AGUGAUUUGGCAGAUUAGUGCAUUAAAUUUAGAAUUUAAUUAAGUAUGAUUUUAUAUACAUUCAUUA
rnacentral:tRNA from 1 species